rnacentral:rRNA from 1 species
AGCGAACGCUGGCGGCAGGCCUAACACAUGCAAGUCGAACGAACCUUUCGGGGUUAGUGGCGGACGGGUGAGUAACACGUGGGAACGUGCCUUUAGGUUCGGAAUAACUCAGGGAAACUUGUGCUAAUACCGAAUGUGCCCUUCGGGGGAAAGAUUUAUCGCCUUUAGAGCGGCCCGCGUCUGAUUAGCUAGUUGGUUGAGGUAAUGGCUCACCAAGGCGACGAUCAGUAGCUGGUCUGAGAGGAUGAUCAGCCACAUUGGGACUGAGACACGGCCCAAACUCCUACAGGAGGCAGCAGUGGGGAAUCUUGCGCAAUGGGCGAAAGCCUGACGCAGCCAUGCCGCGUGAAUGAUGAAGGUCUUAGGAUUGUAAAAUUCUUUCACCGGGGACGAUAAUGACGGUACCCGGAGAAGAAGCCCCGGCUAACUUCGUG